rnacentral:lncRNA from 1 species
UAGAUAGUUAUGUUCUUGUUUUUUGAUAAAAGUCAUUUUAUUAAAGUCAAGAAGUAGAACACAACACCAGGAGCAUAAUACAUGACAGUGUUGGAUCGAAGUCCAUCACUGUGAACUGCUCAAGCUGGCACAUCAAAGAACAAAACCAGAAAAAAAAAAAAAAAAAAAAAAAAGAUAAGAUGUUUAUCUUCUCAGUCGUUGCAUCACUAUAUCUUAACAAUUCUCACCAGCUUAAAGGGGUCAACACUGAAUAUCAACUUGGAGUUUCUACAUCUUAACAAUUCUCACCUCUUAACACAGCCAUGUAGGAGUAAACACCAAAAUCCUCUAGGCAGUUCUAAGACGCGACAAUCUGCAGAGAAUAACAAGGGAUAUAGAAGCAAACAUGGAGAUCAAAUGAUGAAGCCAUGACAUGGAGAUCAAACAACAUACCGCCGACUCUUUUAAAGGAGAAAUUAAAAAAAAAAACAAAGCAUACCACUGCAAUAGAGGAUUAGGAUGUGUUAAAUUGGUCCGAAAACAUACUCCAAAUUAGUAACGCAUCCUUAGGCGCCACUUCUUCCCCCAACCUUUACCUCACAUACUGACAUGAGAUAAAAGCAUGAGAAAGACAGAGAUACC